rnacentral:lncRNA from 1 species
UAUUUAUUAUACAUAUAUGCUAUAUAUCUAUAUCUAUAUAUGUAAUACUUGACAACAUUAUUUACAUUUAGAUGAAGAGAUUUAAAAUAUUCCAAAAUGCUUGCAUGUUCUAAGAAGAGGUUAAAUGUGUUAAAUUUUUGCCAGCAUAGUAAAUAAAAAGGUAAAUAAAAUGUAUAAAAAUUGGAUGUUACAAACCUAAAAAAUUUUUUUCUUAAGAAAAAGAUGAAAGAUAUUUUUAAUCCCUAACAAUUAAAAGAAAAUACUCUUAACAAAUAGAAGUGACAUUUCUCUCAGUUUGCAGGUGGCUGAUUCAGAAGGUGGCUCUGUCAGGACAGCCACUACAUGACAUUAAGUCUCAGUUGAGACUUGCAUCGUGUAAAGGGCAAUCCAGGAAAUGAUCCAUCAGAAAAGAAAUCCAGGCAGAGGAAACAACUAAUGAAAUGGUCCCAAAGCAAGAACCUUAAGGAAUAGAACCUUAAGGAAUAUAAAUUAAACUACUAGUACUAAAAGUUAAGCUUAUGUUUGCGAUAUCAUAGGAAUCCUUAUAGUUUCCACCAUGCUUUAUUGGAUCUAUCGCUUUUGAAGUCCUGGGAU